rnacentral:lncRNA from 1 species
GCUGGGUUUGGGGAGGCGACGUUUCUGGAAGCUGCUGGAAAGCGCCCGAGUGGCGGAGGUGGCGCCAGCGGCCAGGGGGUGGGGCGUGAUUAAAACUAGUGCGCGGCUUUCUGCGGAGGGAUUACGCUGACGAAAGAGACCUGCUUGCGCGUCGCUGUUCCGUGGUCCGCGCGAGCGUGGUCGGGAGCCGCUGGUUCCUGGGGUGACCCGCGGAGGUGGGAGAGGGAAGGGCUUCCGAAGCCGGCGGGGGUGCCAUGGACCCUCUCCGCCGGCGCGGCCUUCACAGCUGGGCCGCGCCGGGCAUCCGUAGUCCGCUCUCCCAAAGCCUCGGUGGAGCUGAAGCUGCCACAGAGUGCAUGUUCACAAAGGGUCAUCACACACGGAGCUGCCCCUCCCUGUCUCCCUAGAGCCCAUCUUCGAGGCCAGGGGCUUUUCUACCAGGAUUCUGGGGUGUUUCUCCUCCUUUCCUCCCUCCCAGAUCUUCUCACGAUCUUUAUUAAAGAGCAUUGUGCAAUGAAGACCUUUCUACGUACAUCAUUCUCCACAUAUGUGAAUAUAUUUGUGCCCUAGCCAAUGGUACGGCUGGGUCCUGUCUACUUUGACUUAUGUGUUCUCCAUGCCAGUAUUGUAUAGUGGAGUCAACACCCUGUUGACUCUAAAGUAAGCAUAUGAGAUAAAUCACAUCACCUGAAUGGCUGUUUUUUCAUGUGAGCCCUGAGAGCAU